UAGGGAAUCUUCGGCAAUGGGGGGAACCCUGACCGAGCAACGCCGCGUGAGUGAAGAAGGUUUUCGGAUCGUAAAGCUCUGUUGUUAAGGAAGAACGAGUGUGAGAAUGGAAAGUUCAUACUGUGACGGUACUUAACCAGAAAGGGACGGCUAACUACGUGCCAGCAGCCGCGGUAAUACGUAGGUCCCGAGCGUUGUCCGGAUUUAUUGGGCGUAAAGCGAGCGCAGGCGGUUAGAUAAGUCUGAAGUUAAAGGCAGUGGCUCAACCAUUGUAGGCUUUGGAAACUGUUUAACUUGAGGGCAGAAGGGGGAAGUGGAAUUCCAUGUGGAGCGGGGAAAUGCGUAGAUAUAUGGAGGAACACCGGUGGCGAAAGCGGCUCUCUGGUCUGUAACUGACGCCGAGGCUCGAAAGCGUGGGGAGCGAACAGG
rnacentral:rRNA from 1 species